GACGAACCGUGCGAACGUUGUUCGGAAUCACUGGGCUUAAAGGGCGCGUAGGCGGGCCAUCAAGUCCGGGGUGAAAUCCUCCGGCUUAACCGGAGAAUUGCCUUGGAUACUGGUGGUCUUGAGGGAAGUAGGGGUCUGCGGAACUUCCGGUGGAGCGGUGAAAUGUGUUGAUAUCGGAAGGAACGCCGGUGGCGAAAGCGGCGGACUGGGCUUCUUCUGACGCUGAGGCGCGAAAGCUAGGGGAGCAAACGGG
rnacentral:rRNA from 1 species